rnacentral:rRNA from 1 species
UCCAGACUUUGAUCAUGGCUCAGGAUGAACGCUGGCGGCGUGCCUAACACAUGCAAGUCGAACGGAGUGUUGAGAGCUUGCUUUUAACACUUAGUGGCGGACGGGUGAGUAAUGUAUGAGCAACCUGCCUUUCAGAGGGGGACAACAGUUGGAAACGACUGCUAAUACCGCAUAAUGUAUACCGGAGGCAUCUUUGGUAUACCAAAGGAGCAAUCCGCUGAAAGAUGGGCUCAUAUCUGAUUAGUUAGUUGGUGGGGUAACGGCUCACCAAGACUGCGAUCAGUAGCCGGACUGAGAGGUUGAACGGCCACAUUGGGACUGAGAUACGGCCCAGACUCCUACGGGAGGCAGCAGUGGGGAAUAUUGGGCAAUGGGCGAAAGCCUGACCCAGCAACGCCGCGUGAAGGAAGAAGGUCUUCGGAUUGUAAACUUCUUUUAUGAGGGACGAAGGACGUGACGGUACCUCAUGAAUAAGCCACGGCUAACUACGUGCCAGCAGCCGCGGUAAUACGUAGGUGGCAAGCGUUAUCCGGAUUUACUGGGUGUAAAGGGCGCGUAGGCGGGGAUGCAAGUCAGAUGUGAAAUCUGUGGGCUCAACCCACAAACUGCAUUUGAAACUGUAUCUCUUGAGUGCUGGAGAGGUAGACGGAAUUCCUUGUGUAGCGGUGAAAUGCGUAGAUAUAAGGAAGAACACCAGUGGCGAAGGCGGUCUACUGGACAGUAACUGACGCUGAGGCGCGAAAGCGUGGGGAGCAAACAGGAUUAGAUACCCUGGUAGUCCACGCUGUAAACGAUGAAUACUAGGUGUGGGGGGACUGACCCCCUCCGUGCCGCAGUUAACACAAUAAGUAUUCCACCUGGGGAGUA